UACGAAGGGGGCUAGCGUUGCUCGGAAUCACUGGGCGUAAAGGGUGCGUAGGUGGCAUGGUAAGUCGGAUGUGAAAUCCCGGGGCUCAACCCCGGAACUGCAUUCGAUACUGCUGCGCUAGAGUACUGGAGAGGAGAUUGGAAUUUACGGUGUAGCAGUGAAAUGCGUAGAUAUCGUAAGGAAGACCAGUGGCGAAGGCGGAUCUCUGGACAGUUACUGACACUGAGGCACGAAGGCCAGGGGAGCAAACGGG
rnacentral:rRNA from 1 species